GACGAACGUUGGCGGCGUGCUUAACACAUGCAAGUCGAACGGAAAGGCCCUGCUUUUGUGGGGUGCUCGAGUGGCGAACGGGUGAGUAACACGUGAGUAACCUGCCCUUGACUUUGGGAUAACUUCAGGAAACUGGGGCUAAUACCGGAUAGGAGCUCCUGCUGCAUGGUGGGGGUUGGAAAGUUUCGGCGGUUGGGGAUGGACUCGCGGCUUAUCAGCUUGUUGGUGGGGUAGUGGCUUACCAAGGCUUUGACGGGUAGCCGGCCUGAGAGGGUGACCGGCCACAUUGGGACUGAGAUACGGCCCAGACUCCUACGGGAGGCAGCAGUGGGGAAUAUUGCACAAUGGGCGGAAGCCUGAUGCAGCAACGCCGCGUGCGGGAUGACGGCCUUCGGGUUGUAAACCGCUUUCGCCUGUGACGAAGCGUGAGUGACAGUAAUGGGUAAAGAAGCACCGGCUAACUACGUGCCAGCAGCCGCGGUGAUACGUAGGGUGCGAGCGUUGUCCGGAUUUAUUGGGCGUAAAGGGCUCGUAGGUGGUUGAUCGCGUCGGAAGUGUAAUCUUGGGGCUUAACCCUGAGCGUGCUUUCGAUACGGGUUGACUUGAGGAAGGUAGGGGAGAAUGGAAUUCCUGGUGGAGCGGUGGAAUGCGCAGAUAUCAGGAGGAACACCAGUGGCGAAGGCGGUUCUCUGGGCCUUUCCUGACGCUGAGGAGCGAAAGCGUGGGGAGCGAACAGGCUUAGAUACCCUGGUAGUCCACGCUGUAAACGGUGGGUACUAGGUGUGGGGUCCAUUCCACGGGUUCCGUGCCGUAGCUAACGCUUUAAGUACCCCGCCUGGGGAGUACGGCCGCAAGGCUAAAACUCAAAGGAAUUGACGGGGCCCCGCACAAGCGGCGGAGCAUGCGGAUUAAUUCGAUGCAACGCGUAGAACCUUACCUGGGUUUGACAUGGAUCGGGAGUGCUCAGAGAUGGGUGUGCCUCUUUUGGGGUCGGUUCACAGGUGGUGCAUGCCUGUCGUCAGCUCGUGUCGUGAGAUGUUGGGUUAAGUCCCGCAACGAGCGCAACCCUUGUUCACUGUUGCCAGCACGUUAUGGUGGGGACUCAGUGGAGACCGCCGGGGUCAACUCGGAGGAAGGUGGGGAUGACGUCAAGUCAUCAUGCCCCUUAUGUCCAGGGCUUCACGCAUGCUACAAUGGCUGGUACAGAGAGUGGCGAGCCUGUGAGGGUGAGCGAAUCUCGGAAAGCCGGUCUCAGUUCGGAUUGGGGUCUGCAACUCGACCUCAUGAAGUCGGAGUCGCUAGUAAUCGCAGAUCAGCAACGCUGCGGUGAAUACGUUCCCGGGGCU
rnacentral:rRNA from 1 species